CUGUCAAUGAUCACUUCCAGAUCCAUUGCCUUGAGAGCUGGAAUGACAGAAUGUGAAACUCUCUUAACCUAUCCUCAGGAGAAAUGAGGCAG
rnacentral:snoRNA from 1 species